rnacentral:rRNA from 1 species
AUUGAACGCUGGCGGCAUGCCUUACACAUGCAAGUCGAACGGUAACAGGUCUUCGGAUGCUGACGAGUGGCGAACGGGUGAGUAAUACAUCGGAACGUGCCCGAUCGUGGGGGAUAACGAAGCGAAAGCUUUGCUAAUACCGCAUAAGAUCUACGGAUGAAAGCAGGGGACCGCAAGGCCUUGCGCGAACGGAGCGGCCGAUGGCAGAUUAGGUAGUUGGUGGGAUAAAAGCUUACCAAGCCGACGAUCUGUAGCUGGUCUGAGAGGACGACCAGCCACACUGGGACUGAGACACGGCCCAGACUACUACGGGAGGCAGCAGUGGGGAAUUUUGAACAAUGGGCGAAAGCCUGAUCCAGCCAUGCCGCGUGCAGGAUGAAGGCCUUCGGGUUGUAAACUGCUUUUGUACGGAACGAAAAGACUCUUUCUAAUAAAGAGGGUCCAUGACGGUACCGUAAGAAUAAGCACCGGCUAACUACGUGCCAGCCGCCGCCGUAAGAC